UCCGUUUCCACUCUCCCCAAAAGGGUUCUAAUAAACCCAUCUCAGUUCACAUGCUCAUCUUGAACCAAGCACUGUGGCCAGGUUGACGGGGUGCUUACAGAGCCGAUCUGGACUCCAUCCCUGUGCAAGUGGCACCGCUGUCUACCCAGUUGCUCAAGCCAGAUACCCAGUGGUCAUCCUGGAUGCCUCUGUCUCCCCAGCUAGAUGUUCAGAUCUAACCAAUUUUCAGCAGGUCACCCCUUCUUCUCAGCAGUGCUUGGGUGUCUCCCCCAGUCCAGAAACCUUCUCUCCAGAGAAAAAACCUCCAGUCUUUCCCAGGGUGGAUGACAGACAGCUGCCCAGCUACAUGGAAUAGACAAGUGGAUUUGAUUGCUUCUUAGAAGUUACAGGUCUUCCAGUUUACUGAAUGAACAAGUGCCACUUGUGGCCAGGAAACAUACAGCAAAGGGCUGGCUAGCCUGGACUGGGAGGGGUAACCCUGAGGAAAGCCUACGAUUAAGUCAAGACAAAAUUAUGACACCAAAAUAUAAAGUUCUGAGUCAGGAGAGAUGAAACUGAUGACAAACACAGGGACAAAGUUAUGGAAUAAAUAGUAACUUUGUUAGAGGGGGGAGAGAAUGCAGUAAGACUCAAGAUACAGAAUGGAUGCAGUAUUUGCAUUCUGCUGCUGGAGGGUCACACAUUUACAGUCGUCCCUCAGUGUCCGCACAGGAUCGGUUCCAGGGCCCCCGGCAGAUACCAAAAUCCACGGAUGCGCAAAUCCCUUAUUCCGCCCUCCGUAACCUCGGACAUGGAACCAAUGGAUGCGGAGGGCCGACUGUACUUUGCAG
rnacentral:lncRNA from 1 species